UAUCCGUAGGUGAACCUGCGGAAGGAUCAUUACAGAGUUCAUGCCCUCACGGGUAGAUCUCCCACCCUUGAAUAUUUAUACCUUAGUUGCUUUGGCAGGCCGUGGAAACACCAUGGGCUCCGGCUUAUGCGUGCCUGCCAGAGGAAACAAACUCUGUUUUUAGUGAUGUCUGAGUACUAUAUAAUAGUUAAAACUUUCAACAACGGAUCUCUUGGUUCUG
rnacentral:misc_RNA from 1 species